UACGGAGGGUGCAAGCGUUUAUCCGGAUUUACUGGGUUUAAAGGGUGUGUAGGCGGAUUUUUAAGUCAGAGGUGAAAUCUCCAGGCUCAACCUGGAAACUGCCCCUGAUACUAUUAGUCUUGAAUAUUGAUGAGGUGGGCGGAACGGGUCAUGUAGCGGUGAAAUGCUUAGAGAUGACCCGGAACACCAAUUGCGAAGGCAGCUCACUGGGCAAUUAUUGACGCUGAGGCACGGAAAGCGAUG
rnacentral:rRNA from 1 species